UUCAGACCUGGAGAAAAGAUCCGAAGCAAUUUUAAAUUAAGACUAUAUUCCCAGACCUGUCAACACUAUAGUAUGAAUCACGGAACUGAGUACUUUCAUUAUUACUCACCAAACUUGCAAGUGUGUCUGCUGACAUCUCCGUGCUCAAUCUGCUGGACUAUUGAUGUGAGCACUGCUGUGCUCCAGAGGAGUUCUUAGCAUGUCCCAGUGAUGUUCAAAAUGUAACCCGAUUGCAAGGGUUCAUGAGGAAACCAAGGAUUGCCCGGCCAGGCUCAAGUCUUCCUCAUCCUUCUUCCUUCUGCCAUCUUUUGAGAAUGGUCACCGUAAGUGGCAUGAUUUGGUAACCGGAGGUCCUGAGCACAAAGGUUCUCAAACCUGAACAGAUAUCGGAACCACCCACCUGGAGGGCUGGGCACACUGAUUGUUUCCCGAGUUUCUAACUGAGUCGGCACAAAGUCGUGGCUUUGCCAUCUGACGGAGGACGCGCAGCGGUCGUCUCUGGCUGGGUAGACUGAGACCUGAACGCUGAGGGACUUAGGACCAGCAGUGCCGUCCAGGCCUGGCUGCAGACGGAAACUACUUCAAGAUAAGCUCCACCAAAAAUAGAGAGGAAAUCAAGAAGAUUAAGACGCAGGAUCCAGCGCAACGCUCCAGCACAGGAGAGACCAAAAGAACGUUUGACAAUCCACUGACUUCCUAGAAAACAGAAGAGUGGGCUGGGCAUGGUGGCUCACGCCUGUAAUCCCAGCACUCUGGGAGGCUGAGGUGGGUGGAUUACCUGAGAUCA
rnacentral:lncRNA from 1 species